AUCCAUCUGACGAGUCCCGAAUAGGAUAGAACGCGCGUCCCGGAU
rnacentral:hammerhead_ribozyme from 1 species